ACCCCAAAACUGAAAUUUUCCCCUAGCGAGACUCCUUUAGUCUGAACUCACCCCAAACUCGACCUCCAUUCUGGACCCUAAGCUCACUCGAACUCGCCACCAUUCUAGAGCUCCUCAUUGCUUCCUUCAUCUACGUCCUCGGCUUCUUCCGCAUCGACUCCGUCCAGUCCGUCAUCUUACGCGCCUCCAACUACGAUGGAGACGACGUCCUCAUCAACUCCCGCUGCUGCCCUCCCCUGGCCAAACCCAAAUUCGAUUUCUUCUGCUUGAGGGAUUCGAGUUGAUUUUGCUUCCGCCAAAACCCUUUUCAACUCUUCACAGUUCGCCCUCCAAAGCGUUUCGCCGAGCUCGUUGAAGGACAAGGUUUAUAGGAUCUUCUGCAGGGAAAAGCGUAAGCUCGCCGGUAGAAAGGUACAUGUUGACAUGCAUAUUCUAGACAUUGCUGUGGAUUUGCCUUCUGUGACUGAAAUUUUCGGGUCAAAAUAUUCAACUACUCUUCUCUAUGCACUCGAUUAAGAUGUCAGAUCAACAGACCGGCCUCCGAUCACUUUAUCUAUUCUCUGUUGGUUCUUCUUGCUUGGUCUACUUGGGUGUAUAGCUCAGUUGAUUGGGUAUGCUGGGAUUAAUUACAGCUCUCCUACUCUUGGCACGGCUAUGCUCAACCUUAUUCCAGCUUUCGCUUUUGUACUUGCAGUUAUAUUCAGAGCUAGCAAAUGCUAUUCCAGAGCUAGCAAAUGCUAUUCCAGGGAUUGAUGAGGCCAUGAGCUUUACAGAGAUGCUAAAAUUGGUUCAAACAAUGUAUUAUUCUGUUAUUGUAUUUGACACUGCAAUGCGUAAUGAGUCAGAGAUGGUUCAAACAUCAUCACAACUUUGGACGAAAACAGCAAAAGUGAAGAAGCGAAACAGAAUAAGGCAGAUAAGAUCUACAACAUAAUAAGAGCUCCAAUUAAUAUUUUCAUCAAGGAGGACAUUUACACAUCGAAGGUUUAAGUACAUAUGCAAAAGAGGGAAGCCGUACACUAACUUGGGUACCCAAGGAGUUGCAUAAUGUGUGGGCGGUAAAGACUCGGAAAGGAUAUACCCAACAACGACUUGACUACUUACAGAUUUUGCUGUAGAUUCUGACUAUCUUGAUUUUAGUAAGGCUAGCUAGCUUUUGUUUAACCUUUUUGUAGAUGAAGUGAAUGCAGCAAUUAUGAACAAAAAUGCAAUAGUAAUUGCUAGCCUAGCCUUGUAGUAGGUUAAUUGGGGUUUAUUUUGCCUAUUUUGUGAACUGUCAAGGAUGAUGAUUUUGGAUAAAAUACUCAAUACUCAAAUCACUUUUGUCAA